UACGAAGGGGGCUAGCGUUGCUCGGAAUCACUGGGCGUAAAGGGUGCGUAGGCGGGUCUUUUAAGUCAGGGGUGAAAUCCUGGAGCUCAACUCCAGAACUGCCUUUGAUACUGAGGAUCUUGAGUACGGGAGAGGUGAGUGGAACUGCGAGUGUAGAGGUGAAAAUUCGUAGAUAUUCGCAAGAACACCAGUGGCGAAGGCGGCUCACUGGCCCGUAACUGACGCUGAGGCACGAAAAGCGUGGGGGAGCAAACAGG
rnacentral:rRNA from 1 species